CAGCCGUAAACUAUGCUCGCUAGGUGUCAGGGACGGUGCGACCGUUUCUGGUGCCGCAGGGAAGCCGUGAAGCGAGCCACCUGGGAAGUACGGUCGCAAGGCUGAAACUUAAAGGAUUGGCGGGGGAGCACUACAACGGGUGGAGCCUGCGGUUUAAUAGGACUCAACGCCGGAAAUCUUACCGGGACCGACAGCAACAUGAAGGCCAAGCUGAAGACUUUGCCGGAUUAGCUGAGAGGUGGUGCAUGGCGUAGUCGUGU
rnacentral:rRNA from 1 species